AUCACGUUAAAACACCGUUUCCCGUACGAUCACCGAGGUUAAGGAACGUUGACCUUGGUCAGUACCUAAAUGGGUGCCCGCCUGGUUAUACCAGGUGCUGUAAG